UACGAAUGGGGCAAGCGUUGUUCGGAAUCACUGGGCUUAAAGCGUGCGCAGGCGGUCUUGCAAGUCAGGAGUGAAAUCCCGGGGCUUAACCCCGGAAUUGCUUUUGAAACUGCAAGACUAGAAUAUGGGAGAGGUUAGCAGAAUUCCGAGUGUAGAGGUGAAAUUCGUAGAUAUCCGGAGGAACACCAGUGGCGAAGGCGGCUUUCUGGACACUAACUGACACUGAGAGACGAAAGCCAGGGGAGCAAACGGG
rnacentral:rRNA from 1 species